CGGGACCUGUCCCCUGUCCCCUGCCGCGAGGAGUUUGUUGGACUUCAGCUUCCUUAAUGUUUUUAAUUUAACAAAUGUUUGUCUUGAGAUCUUGAAAGAAUCUGUUUCUUGAAACCGCAUGUCUAGGCUAGACUUUACCAACAAACAUUACAGUUUCUAGAAGUCAGCAGACAGAGGCUUAAGCAGCUGGCCUCAAGAGCUAGACAGAGCCUGGGUUCAAAGCCUGUCUUCACCAUAAAAAGCCUACAUUGAUUAGCCACUGGAGCUGUCUGCAGUGGGUUUUCUUUCUUUCUUUUUUUUUUUUUUUUUUUUUUGCAGUGGGUUUUCUAUUGGUCUAACAUUGUUCUUACACAACAGGACGACCCCGAGGAUCUAAUUCACAGACAGGUUUAUGGAUUCACUGGUGGACUUACUGGAGGGGCUUACUUAACAUAAUUCUACGUUUUGAGGAGCCCCUCCCCAAAUUACUAUCAUUUCUUUUAGAUCAUUAUGUUUAUCAAGUUAUUAACAUUUCUUGCUAUGUAGUAUAGGCUGACCUUGAGUUUGAAGUCCUUUUCCUCCUUCUACCAAAUGCUGCUAUUAUAAGUGUGUACCAUUAUGCACUGCUUAUGAUAAUUAUUUUUACUCUUUUUAAAAAGUAUUUCUAAAUUUUUUAUCUCUGUGUGUGUGUCUGUGUGUGUGUUCACAUGUGUUCAGGUGCUUCAGAGUUCAGGAGAACCCAGAAGAAGGAUGUGUGGAGGCACUGGUACAGGUGGUUAGGAAUUGCCAGACUUGGGUGCUGGGAAACUGAACUUGGGUUUUCUCCACAGGCAGUACUUGCUCUUAACCAUGGGGGCAUCUCUCUAGCCUCACAGCUAUUAUUUUAAAAAGAAUGUAUUGUUUCAGUCUCAUGUUUCAAGCUGGAUAUUUUGUUUCCAUAGUACAUCAGGUUUAUAGACUUUUUAUUUUCUGAACAGGGUUUUUCUGUGUAGCCCUGGCUAUCCUGGCUCUGUACAUCACACUCGCCAUAAAUUUGGAGAUCUGCCUGCUUUUGCCUCCUGGAUGCUGCCAUUAAAGGCAUGUACCCCUACCACUUGGCUUACAAACCUUUUAAAAAUUACAAUGAUUACUGUAUGUUAAUUGUACAAAUUAAUGGGACUUCACCACAAUGUUUCCAUGCAUGCAUUCAUUGUGACCUGAUCCUGUUCCCCCCCAUUUCCAUGCUCUGUCCCCUUCCUCUUUCUACCUGCUUCCCCGAGCCUCUUUCCCUUCCCUAAAGGUCUUACAUUUUCAGGUUCCUUAAAAAAAAUGACCAUCAUAAACUGUUCUAAUUUUUGAACAGUUUCCUACACACAUAUAAUUUUAGUCAUUUUACCCCUCUCCACCUCCUUUACUCUUCACUCACACCCUUCCCAAUACCCCCCCCCCCCCCCAUUUCUCAACAAGUCCUACAGUCAUUUUGUGUCUGUGUGACACACGGAGUCACACAUUUCAUUAGGGCUGCUUGCAUGAACGUGGAUGGGCGCUACUUACUGGAGGAGGAUGAGUAACUUACCAGCGGCUACACUACUGAAGAAAGAGGCUUCUUAUUCCUCAGCAGCUACUAGCUGCCCAUAGCAUAGCUCUUCAGAGAAUAAGUGUAGUGUCUCAUGUACCUGUCCCCAUUCAACGCAGGAUGCUGAAAGGCCUGUCUCGUACAGGCAACGGCAGCUGCUAUGUGUGAAAUAUCCAUGCUAUGUUCUAGAGACAGUGUCUCACAUCGCUCCUCCUCACCCUCUGACUUUUAUCUUCUUCCCAUUCAGUCCACUGUAGUGUUUCCUGGCCCCUGGAAAGAGUGAUCUAGAUGUCCUGCUUAAGGGUAAGCAUUUAGCUGUCACUCAUUCUCAGGACCAGUUAUGAGUCUCAGCAUGAACUGCAAAUAGAAGCUUCUGAGAACGUGGCCGAGAUUACCAUUACCCUAUGGAAUUGAAAGAACAAUUCUCAGCUUAACAGGGAAAGACAAAAAAACUCAGGCUAGCUAAAGCAAUCCUGAACAAUAAAGGAACUGCUGGAAGUCCCACCAGAGUUGAUUUCAAGAUGUCCUACAGAGCUAUAGGAAUAAAAACCACAUGGUACUGACAUAAAAACAGACACAUUCAUCAAUGCAAUAAAACUGAAGCCCCAGACACAAAUCCACACUUAUGGACAUCUGAUUUUUGAUAAAGAAGCCAGGGAUAUAGAGUGGGAAAGGAAAGCUGCUUCAUCAAAUGGUGCUAGUCAAUACGCUAGUUGGGAUGUAGAGGAAUGUAAAGAACCAUAUCAAUCACCCUGCACAAAACUCAAGUCCAAGUGGAUCAAAGAUGUCAACUUAAAAUCAAACAGAAUGAACCUGAGAGAAGAGAGAGUGGGGAACUGCUUUGAACUUAUUGGUACAGGAGGCAAGUUUCUGAACAGAACACCAACAGCACAGGCACUAAGAUCAACAAUUAAUAAAUGGGACUUUAUGAAACAGAAUCAACUUUUGUAAGACAAGGGACACCAUGAAUUGGACAAAGCAACAGACUUCAGAAUGGGAAAAGAGUUUUCCAACUUCACACCCAAUAGAGGACUAGUAUCCAAAAUAUAUAAAGAACUCAAGAAACUACAUAUUUUAAAAAGACCACACAAUUUAAAAAUGGGGAGCAUAUUUAAACAGAAUUCACAACAAAGGAAUUUCAAAUGGCCGAGAAACAAAGAAAUUGUCAACAUCCAUAGCCAUCAGGGAAAUGCAAAUAAAAACGACUUGGAGAUUUCAUCUUACACCUGUCAGAAUGACCAAGAUCAAUAACGCGAGUGACAGCUCCUGCUGGUGAGGAUGGGGGCAAGAAGAACACUCUUCCAUGCUGGUGGGAGUGCAAGCUUGUAAAGCCACUAUGGAAAUCAAUAUGUUUUUUUCUCAGAAAGUUGGGAAUCAAUCUGUUUCAAGAUUAGUUAUACCACCCUUGGGCAUAUACCCAAAGGAUGCUCCAUCUCGCUGCAAGGACACUUGCUCAACAAUGUUCAUUGUGGUUUACUUCAAAAGAGCCAGGAACUGGAAUAACCUAGAUGUUCCUCAACAGAAGAACAGACAACAAAAAUAGUGAUACAUUUACCCAACUGAGUAUAACCCAGUGGUAAAACAAAACAAAACCCAAAACCAAAAAAUGGCCUUUUUGGAUGGAGAAGCAGGAGUGAAGCAUAUCAGUGGUAAAACAAAACAAACCCAAAACCAAAAAAUGGCCUUUUUGGAUGGAGAAGCAGGAGUGAAGCAUAUAAGAUGUAGGCCAUGGGGGCUGUUCAGAGAUUGUGUUAUCUGUUCACUCUAAAACAAACCCAACAACAACAACAAAUGGAAUCAUGACAUUUGCAGGUAAAUGGAUGGAA